rnacentral:rRNA from 1 species
UACGGGGGGGGCAAGCGUUGUUCGGAAUUACUGGGCGUAAAGGGCUCGUAGGCGGCCAACUGAGUCGGAUGUGAAAUCCCCAGGCUUAACCUGGGAACUGCAUCCGAUACUGGAUGGCUUGAAUCCGGGAGAGGGAUGCAGAAUUCCAGGUGUAGCGGUGAAAUGCGUAGAUAUCUGGAGGAAUACCGGUGGCGAAGGCGGCAUCCUGGACCGGCAUUGACGCUGAUGAACGAAAGCUAGGGGAGCAAACGGG